UAGGGAAUCUUCCGCAAUGGACGCAAGUCUGACGGAGCAACGCCGCGUGAGUGAAGAAGGAUUUCGGUUCGUAAAACUCUGUUGUUAGAGAAGAACAGCGCAUAGAGUAACUGUUAUGCGUGUGACGGUAUCUAACCAGAAAGCCACGGCUAACUACGUGCCAGCAGCCGCGGUAAUACGGAGGUGGCAAGCGUUGUCCGGAUUUAUUGGGCGUAAAGCGAGCGCAGGCGGUCAAUUAAGUCUGAUGUGAAAGCCCCCGGCUCAACCGGGGAGGGUCAUUGGAAACUGGUUGACUUGAGUGCAGAAGAGGGAAGUGGAAUUCCAUGUGUAGCGGUGAAAUGCGUAGUUAUAUGGAGGAACACCAGUGGCGAAGGCGACUCUCUUGUCUGUAACUGACGCUGAGGCUCGAAAGCGUGGGUAGCAAACAGG
rnacentral:rRNA from 1 species